rnacentral:rRNA from 1 species
CCUACGGGAGGCAGCAGUGAGGAAUAUUGGUCAAUGGACGAGAGUCUGAACCAGCCAAGUAGCGUGAAGGAUGACUGCCCUCUGGGUUGUAAACUUCUUUUAUAUGGGAAUAAAACGUUCCACGUGUGGGAUUUUGUAUGUACCAUAUGAAUAAGGAUCGGCUAACUCCGUGCCAGCAGCCGCGGUAAUACGGAGGAUCCGAGCGUUAUCCGGAUUUAUUGGGUUUAAAGGGAGCGUAGGUGGAUUGUUAAGUCAGUUGUGAAAGUUUGCGGCUCAACCGUAAAAGUGCAGUUGAAACUGGCAGUCUUGAGUACAGUAGAGGUGGGCGGAAUUCGGGGUGUAGCGGUGAAAUGCUUAGAUAUCACGAAGAACUCCGAUUGCGAAGGCAGUUCACUGGACUGCAACUGACACUGAGGCUCGAAAGUGUGGGUAUCAAACAGGAUUAGAUACCCGUGUAGUC